AUUGAACGCUGGCGGCAGGCCUAACACAUGCAAGUCGAGCGGAUGAAGGGAGCUUGCUCCUGGAUUCAGCGGCGGACGGGUGAGUAAUGCCUAGGAAUCUGCCUGGUAGUGGGGGAUAACGUCCGGAAACGGGCGCUAAUACCGCAUACGUCCUGAGGGAGAAAGUGGGGGAUCUUCGGACCUCACGCUAUCAGAUGAGCCUAGGUCGGAUUAGCUAGUUGGUGGGGUAAAGGCCUACCAAGGCGACGAUCCGUAACUGGUCUGAGAGGAUGAUCAGUCACACUGGAACUGAGACACGGUCCAGACUCCUACGGGAGGCAGCAGUGGGGAAUAUUGGACAAUGGGCGAAAGCCUGAUCCAGCCAUGCCGCGUGUGUGAAGAAGGUCUUCGGAUUGUAAAGCACUUUAAGUUGGGAGGAAGGGCAGUAAGUUAAUACCUUGCUGUUUUGACGUUACCAACAGAAUAAGCGCCGGCUAACUUCGUGC
rnacentral:rRNA from 1 species